rnacentral:rRNA from 1 species
UACGUAGGGUGCAAGCGUUGUCCGGAAUUAUUGGGCGUAAAGAGCUCGUAGGCGGUUUGUUGCGUCGGCUGUGAAAUCCCGAGGCUCAACCUCGGGUCUGCAGUCGAUACGAGCAAACUAGAGUGUUGCAGGGGAGACUGGAAUUCCUGGUGUAGCGGUGAAAUGCGCAGAUAUCGAGGAGGAACACCGGUGGCGAAGGCGGGUCUCUGGGCUGACACGUGACGCUCGAUGCACGAAA